GAUGAGAACAGGGAGGAAGCAUGAAAGUGAAAGUGUGCAGUUUGUUAUCCAGACUCCAUUCUGAGAAAACGACACAGAGAUGUGACGACUGAAGAUAGAAGCAGGUCAGUUAUUCCAGACUCCAUUUUGUGUUAACGGCACAGAGAGGUGACGACUGAAGACUGAAGCAGGUCAGUGUUAAUGUUUAACCUCUCAGACUGACUUCAGAUCAGAAGAUGAUUGACUGUGUGGAGGAAGAGGAGGACAGAGCA